GCUUUGAAUUUAGCUAAGCAAGAUUCAAAUCUUAUAUAUUCCAUUUUUGUAUGGAUAUAUUUUUGACAUAGAACUUAAAAGCUGCCAUUAAGUAAGAACUUAUGUUACAAAGUGAUGUUUAUAUGUAUUUUUCAUGAGAAGUUGUGAGACAGUAUGUGUGAAAAACAGGAAAUGUCAAGAACUACUAAACAACACUGACUUUUCCCACGUAAAUAGAACUCCCUGGAAAGUUCUGUAGCUAACAAUUACAGAACUGCUAGUUGCUGGUAUACCUAUACUUACCACUUUAGUCAGCAUUUUUGAAACUGUGCUUAUAAAUAGGCACACUGUGUCUGGAUUCAAUUAGAUUACACAGAUACGCAGUCACAAAAUUAACUUUAAAAUCCUUAUCCCUAGAAAAAGGAAAUUCUUGUGCUUUGUGGUAAUUUCUCAUUAGAUAAUUUAUCUUGGUUUUGUGGUGGUUGUGCAGUUUGAGAAAUGAGUGUCAAAACACUUUUACUGUGUUAUUCUGCCAAUUUUGGCAGUACUUUGGUGGAACAAGCAGUUGUCAGAUUUCAUAGAGCUCUUGAGAGAUUUCUGGAGGCCAGAUUAUUUUAUCAUGUAUAUUUCUGGUACCAUUGCUUGACUAGCAGUGCAGCUCUCAUUCUUUGUUUUAGACUACAGCUAUAUACCAGGGAGAUUUAGUAGGGGCAAACAACUACCAGUCUUCUGAGCUAAUGUUUUCUACUGCUAGAAGAAAAAUAUCGCCGCCAAAUAUUUCCACUUUCUGGACUGGAAAAUGCAGCCUUUCCCAAACUCUUUUUUUUUGUCCUACAGUUUUAAAAACAUUCUGAAAUUGCCUCAGCACCUUAGCCCAUAGCUUCCUGCCAGGGCAGUCAGUUUCCCAUAAAGUGUUCAGGUGCGCAUCUAGGGACAACAGAGCAAAGGAGAUUAAACUCUCCUUUCUCAGUCUUGCAUCUAUUGAUCAUUGCAAACAAAUAAUUGCUGUUAAACUAGGGUGUCUUUUGGGAAUGUUACUAGACUUUGUUUCUGUGUCAUUUGUUUUUUGUUCUUUCUAAAGUAGGUAACUUAUUUUUAAAUUUUAGCAUGCUUCCUAUUUUAGAGUUAUAUUCUCCCUGUUGCCAAUAUAGGGUAUUUGGUAAACAGUCUUUCUAAUAUUUCUGACACAGAAAUUAUAACCGUAGCAUCUAGGCACAUACAGGUUUGUAUUCUUAUACUUAAGUUUGUCUUUUUCUGAUCUCCUAAAUUAUUUAUACAAGUGUGAUGGACUAACUAAUUUGUUGGAAUGGACGAAGGGUUAAUUGUAAUUAACAUUCUUUCCUUGUGUCUUUUUCAAGGCUUUAAGCUAUCGUUGUAUUGUGCAGGCAUAAUACAGUGGUGCAAUGUUUUUUCUGUGUUAAGUAUUCUAGUUGAAUGCUUACCAAAUUUUUAGAUCUGCCAUUCUUUCUUUAUGAGUAUUACCUUCCAUAGGAGAACUUGACUUCUCCCACUUUCAUUGUCUUCCUAAGAACCUGCUGUAAGAGUGCCUGUGAUUGGGUUCUUAUGAGAUAGUUGUAUGUUACAAUCAGUGAAGCUACUCUUACUGCUCAAUUCAGUUAAGGAAGAUGAAUAUUGGAAUAUCUCUUAACUGGAAUUCAGAGCUGCAUCACACACAGCUCAAAUAAUGCUUCAGAAAGGUAGUGUGUUAGAGCUCGUUAGUUUUGUGGCCUGAGACAUUGUUCCUGUUUGCAGGGCAUUGAUGUUGUCCAGGAUAUCCAUUUUGGAGAUUUAAUUUUUGUUUCUUACUUUGCAAUACUUGGCAGUUUGGACAGUGUGUUAGGCUUUCUUCUUAUAAGAUGAAAACUGUUUCUUUGAUUUUUGUCAGUGUUGGUUUUUUGGUUUUUUUUUUUUUUUGAUCUGGGAAUAAGGGUGACCAUUUCUAGGUAUCUUUUAUUUGCUAAGAGUCAUAUUGGUCACUCUCACUGUUAUGUUAGAAGCUUAAUUACUCUCAUUAGUCAUUUUGCUGUUUUUGAUUCCUUGUCCUGGCCCAACUUGCAAAGAUUGACUGAAAGAAUUAUUAUUCCUCCCUGAAAAGUUUUUCUUUCCAAAGCAAGUAGUGAAAUUUGAUAUGUACUGGCUGAACAAGCACCAGAUUUGUGUAUUCAACUGGCUAAACUAUAGACUUUCCUUUUUGUCUCAAGCUAUAAUGCUAGUAUUGUCAUUCUUUUAAAUCUCCAGUCUUGGUAAGGAUGUGAUGCCAGAAAACGUGUUCUGUUUUGGAAGUAGUGUUUCAUCUGCCUUUCAUCUGUCGUACGAUUUAAAGAUUGCUAAUGGUAGUGCUUUUUAAGCAGUCCCACUAAAUACCUGUUGGACAGCACUCUGCAUUCUGAGACAACAGCAUCUGUAUUCUGUGAAGUUAGGUUCAAAAAAACAUCUCGUACUACCAUCAUAACGUUGAACAUAUCUCAGUAUUGCAUGGGGGCUGUCUUGUUUUAUCAGCAUUAAAUGGAGCAGUGUUACACAGAGUUUAAAGAGAAACUGGUUGGAAAAAAAAAAAAAAAAGAGUAUUAUUACCAUUAGAUCAACUUAUAAUUAGUUCUUGUACAGCUUUCUCCAUAUUGCAUUUAUUUGUAAUGUAAAUGGAUAUUCAGGUUAAUCUCUGGUAGUGGUCUUGCAUGUGUUUAUAGAGUGACAUAAGUGUGUGCACUGUUAGAAUAUAUAUAUUUUUUGUCCUCUAGACAAAAAUGCUAGUCCUAGUGCUUUAGGAGCUGUAUCCCAUAGUGUAUAGAUACUGAGAGAGUUUCCAGACACAGUAAUCUGUGCGAAAGAACAGACACAGUUAAGCAACCCAGAGAUCAAGGUGGUAGUCAUUGUGUUUAAUGUGAAUAACCAAGAGAAAUGUUGUAUAUGACUGUAUUGUUUAAUAUUUCCUAACUAAAACAAUAUUAAAUUUUUCUCUUCUUUGUUAAUCUAAGGUUAUCUGGCGUUUUAUCACUUUAAAGAGUCAUAGCAUCUGGUGAUAUCAGCUCUUACAGCUGAGCUGGCCAAGUAAAUAAAGUCCUGUGAGUACAGAACAGGUAUACUGGGCAAUUUAUUUUCUUUUUUAGAGAGAGAUUGAGUUAACAUAGUGGUUGUUUGAGUUGUUGGGCUAUUAAUGUGUGCCUUGAUACAAACUUUUGAUGUCUUGGGUAAUCUGGGUGACUCAUUCCCCUGACUAAAACGGGCUAAUAACACUUUCUAAUGUUACUCGGUGUGGGACAAAGAAAUAUAGUGAGUACCAUGACCAAUUAGAAUGGUAGGGUACCAGGACAAUGCAGAAACUUAGAAUAACUUUCCUGGGAACUAAGCUGUUUCACUGGGAGGACAAAGAUAGAUGAUAAAAAUGAAUUCUUCAUGAUUAAUUUUGUAAACUAUCCUUUUCCUAGUAAGUGUUACUAAUGAAUAUGUGUCAACACCCCCCUGAUCUGUAGUGACUAUUCAUGUAUUCAUGAAUAUUAUUGGUAGAUAACAGUAUUUAUGAAGAAGCCUUUGUAUUACAAAGCUUACUAUGCUUGAUUAAUUACAUCCAGCUAGUGUAUACAAAAUAUUCUUGUGCAAUUAGGGAAUAAUACAAUCUGAUCAAUUGUCAAUAACUGAUAUUUUUCUUUAAUGUUACUCAAAAUUGAAACCUUUGGUAAAACUACCUAACAACAAGCUUUACAGCCCUAGAAUAUCAACAGUAAAAUCAUAGCUUCCUUUAUAAAGCAGAGAUCAGAAGCAUAAUAAAAAUAUUUCUAUUACUAACUUCAGUUCUCUUUUAGCAGUUCAAGGAAGUUCGUUUUGUGCAGGGAAGUUACGUGUAGAAGAGGGAAAGCAGAUCAGUUUGCGUACUUCUUUCACAUCCUUCUACGGUUAUUAAGGCAUAAAACCACUACCUCAGCAGUGCUGUAACACCAGAUUCUUUUUGCUUUUGUUUUCUUACAGCUUCUCAGUGGGGAAAUGCAGGCAGUGAGGCCAGUAUGAGGGCUUAGUAGUGAGGGGACUAAUCUUACUGGCAGGUUUGUUAUGCUAAAAUAUCACAGGCUGGGAAGCAUCAAUCUUUUUGGGUACAACUCUUUUCCUCUCCUAUCCACUUUUUCUUCUUCAGAUUUCUGUUGAAAGCACAAAUCACUUGUGUUUACGUGUCAAAUCUAGACCAGAAUUUUUGAAAUACACGUAUGGAAUCAAUUGCAUGAUGGUUAGUCUCUGCUAGUAGUCAUCAUUUUCGAUAAAUUAGCAGAUGAUGUCCUACUCAGUAUUCCAUAGUUUCAGAUUGUCAGUGUUCUUAUACAAAUUGAAAAUGCACGUAUUCUGGGUAUUUGUGACAUGUUCUAACAGCUGUUGAAAAACAAGUUUUAGCCUUAAUGGUUUUUUCAUUUGGCAUUUUCAAUGCAAACUGACUCAAAACAGCCAGAGGUAUGCUUCAUUUCAGUCUUAUCCUUAGAGAGUACUUUAUCUUGUUUGGAAGGUUAGUGCAAAGUUCUGACACUGGUGAGCACAAGUGCAGCAUAGUCUAUCUUCUGAUAUGCAAUUAGAAUUACUUCAAAAUAAUUUUUUGGUCCUGGAGAUUCAGAAGCAUACUUUUAUUGAGCAUACAAUAUUCAACUUCCUUCAUAUAGUUAAAUUUCUGGCCGUUAUAUUGAUGAAUUUGAUUUGCUGUGGUUCAGUUCCUACCCCAAAUUCAGUUUUUCUCAGUCCCCUUGAAACUUGAAUGAGCUGGUAUCUGAUUUUAAUCCUUUAUUUCUUGGGGAGUUGUUCUUAGUGACGAUAUUUCUAUAUCCUCAAAGAUGCAGAUGACAUCAGUUGCAGUAUGUUAGAGAGGAACUUGGCAAAUCUCUUCAAUAUUACAUGUCUUCAGUGUAGGACCAGUUCAGAGUUCUGCAGCUGUAUCAAUUCUUCAAGAAUUGAGACGUUUCUGUCCCAGACCUGGAAAGAUUCCGCAUCUAUGGAUUAUCUCCUCAAAACUGGAAAUCCGUGUCUUGAACAAACUGAAGAGUGUGAACCUGCUGAUCUCUGAUAUACUGGUGUCCUUCCCAAACCAGAUAUGACCUACAGGUAGAUCUGGCCUCUUUGUGAAAUCUUGAGUGCAGCCAUGCGUGAAUGAGGCACACUUUUCCUUCAGUGAGCCAACAGCCUACGUUCUUGGAAACCAUUUGAAGUAUGCAGUGCAGUACACUUCCUGCAAAAGAAAAGACUAUCAGAUACAUACUUAUGCCUGUGUGGACAGUUGUUUUACGUGACAAUGAAAUUUGAAGACUGAGCUGUAGGAGGAAACUUGGCAGUGUGCUCCAGUGUCUGAUUUCUCUUUUUCCUGCUUUUUAAUAGGAUAGCAGUCACGUAUGUUCUGCAUGACUUCAGUACGUUGUUAGGACUUGAUUUUCUGUCAUUGCUCUGAUAUGCUGCUGCUCCUGCAGUCAGUUCUGCUGUUGUUAUCUCCUUCAUUUUGUUCCCCGGGGUUGUUAUUUCUGCAGGUUUUGGGUACCUGCAUUUAUGACAUUUCUCAAGUGUAUUUCAGGGGGUGUAUUUUAAUGCAAGUCGGUGGGGUGAAGUAAUAGUUUGUCAUUUGAUAUGAUGAUUUUGGCAGAGUUCUCUGAGCGUGAAACUAUAAUAGACUGGAUAUUAAGGAGCAGUGUUGAAGUUUCCUCACGUACUAUGAAAUGAUGUUUGUGUGAACUGUGAGAAUCCUAUUUCUCAAGCUGUGCUGAGCUGAAGAUGCUAAGCUUCACUUCCUUUUCUUGCAACUAGAGAGACAACAUGAGCAAGUGUUUUGGAGAGACUGAAAGUGUAUUCUUGCCUCUGCCACUGAGUUGAGACUGCUCUAUUGGCUUAAUCAAAGCUUUGUGUUUUUUUCUACUGUACUCCUGAGUGCACUCUUUAAAAAACCGUCUGGGAGAUGGAUGUGUUUUACUUUAUGUUCAGAUGAGAUCCAAGUGCAAUUGGUUUUUGGGUUGCUGUUGUAGUUAGAACAAUAAAUAUAUUACAUUCAUUAUUUAAUAUAUUAAUGCAGUUUCAAGGUGUUUACUUCUGUUCUGCUAACUGUAUUAUGUUUUCCUGGGAACCUGUAAAUUAGUAUGUCCAGCAAUUAAGUACGAGGACUAUCUAUCUACUCAUUGAUUAGUACUUCAUUAGUAUGGUUUGUAAGCAGAGAAAUAUAGCACCGCUGGUUAAAUCAUCCUGUUGUUUCUGUGGAGAACCUGAACUAUACAUUUACCUGUUUGUUACACUACCUAACAAUGUAAAUAUAAUGGUGCUAGCUUACAGCUGUGGCUGUCACAGAGAUACUGACUGGGAAUCAUGGAUGCAACAGAAGGGUGUUGUCCCAGCCAGGACAGGUAAAGACAAAGCAAAUUUCUUGAUCUAACAGCGCUUAGGAUUUUUGGAAGGAAGAUUUUACUCACAUUCAUCAAGUGCUCAACGCUUUAACCUUCUCUUAUUGACGUGCUACAGAAGGGAUCCUGGAGGUGUGCUUUUUAAAAGAGCCGUGUCAGAGGUCGUUUAGACAGUUCUUUGGUAAUCCAAGAACAUUAAAAGUUACUUCCAGAAACCAGUCACCUUUUCAAAGUAGUUUGGGGAUGAGAGAGUGCUACUGUUGAGCAGAGUAAAUGUGUGAGGUAGGGAGGGAAGCUGUCUAUUGUGUGUUACAGGCAGCGUACACUCAGGAGGACUGAGAGCUUGCAUGCUGUUUCAGUGGCAGGUCCACAAUGAGCUCAUAUAUUCAAAGAUCAAACUGUAUAUGUAUACUGAAAGCCUUUCUUCUUGCCUUUUGUCUGGUUUUAGAUAUGUUUAAUUAAAUUAAGAAUCUCUCUUGCAGAAGUUAGAUAUUGUUCAGACAUUGGGCUAGAUCAGUAGCCUCUCCCAGCAGGCAAGCAGAGCUUUCCACUGGCAAGCAGCUGCAGUGCCAAGUUGUGUCUGGCUGUGCAUGUGCUGCCCACCUCAUUUCCCAAAAGUAAAACCAUGGAUUGACACAGCUGCUUUAAUCAGGUGUAAGGGUGGAAGUGUGAUGAUAAGUACAUUUCCUCUGUGGCUGUGCCAGUGCUGCUUUGUGGAAAAAUACGCCCACUCUGAUUGUAAUAAGAAGCAUCAUAAAUCAGAAUUACUAUUAAAGCAGAACUGAGUUUAAUUUGGCUGAGAGACAGCGUUUUAUACAAAUGGAGAGCUUUCCCAUGAGAGAUUGAAUUACUCCACACUAGAAAAUCCCUUAAUUUUUUUCAGUUUAAAUUUUUAAAGUAAAUGGUGAAGUAGUGGAGCUCUAGCUAAACGUGCUAGUGCUGGGUGAGACCCACCAAUUUAGUUUCCUUAGGAAUUGUCUCUUGACACUUGAAAAUAAGCUUGUUUUUGUUUUGCAGUUCUUCUCUUGAAAAGGGUUUUUUCAAAGGUGACAGCUUUUCAAUAUUUAUGAAAUGAAGUUGUCUUUAUUUCUAAGUCCACGAACUCAGGAAAGAGCUCUUUCAAGACUAGAAGAAUAUAGCUGCUUUAUAAUUUUUAUAUUUUACUCUAACCAUAAGGGAACUGUAUGCACACACUGCAGAGGGGAGAUGGUGUAACCUUCUCCAUUAUAUCACAUUUGCACCCUGAGACCUUGCCAUUGCAUUGCCCUUGUCUGCUGGAGGUGCUGUGUAACUGUGUGAACAGACAAAUGGAAAUCAGUAGGCGCCGAAUUUGUUUGACAUGGAUGAGCUGUGUGAUUCAGAGAGGGAGAACUGCAGGCAUAAAGCAUUCAGGAAAUACAGUGAAGCAGUCAAAACUCAGAAGCAUAUUUAGAUGUCAGCAUCUCUGCCAGGAUUCGAUAACACGUACAUGAAAAUGGGCAAGGUUUUCCAUAACUGAAGGUUUGUUGGACACAUUGAGGGCAGGAUUCAGAGCUAACUAGACUUAAUUAGUUGGUUCUAUCUUUGUAGUACAGACAGCAGCAGCUGGACCAAAUGUAGCUGGUGAAACUCUGGAGAGUGACACAGAAACUCUACAGAUACUAUGCAGUGAAUGAAUCCUGGAGGUGCAUUUUUAAAAAGACCCAUGUCAGAAGUCUGUUGGGUGCUUCUCUGGUAAUCUGAGAACAUUAAGAGGCACUUUCAGAAAGUCACUCUAUAGUGCAGCAGGGGUGAACUUGCAUAUCUCUUCCUGCACAUAUCAGUUUGUCUUCAGGUAUGAGUUCUCUGCUCUGAGCUUAACAGGUUAUUUCUGCAAACUGCUUCUCUUUCAUUAUGAACUUAAUUGAGUAAUGAAGACAUUUUAAGGAAUAUGUAGAUUACUGAAUUAUAAACAUUUUCUACUAUGAGACUCCACGUUUUUGCCAAGUAAAAUAUGUGGUAGUUAAUUCUCCACAAAAUAUGUUGUUGCACCUUAUCAGGGCAGAUACACAUUUUGGGCCAACCACUGUGAAAACUUAAAGAUCCAUUUGGAGAACAGAUUAAGUAUUCAAACCGGCCCAAUGUUUUCAUUGGCAAUGUGAUAACAGAGAUAAACACUGUUAUUGUUGAAGAUACAUCCAUUUUUAAGUGAAAAAUAAUUCUUAGGGAAGAUAUUCUGAGGAAGAACGAUAUGAAACAUGGAUCUAUUUUUGUUGUUUGGGGUCGGAGGGUUAGUGGUUGGUGACUUUUCUCAUUUUGUUUUUGUUUUUGCUUCCUUUCCUCUCUCUGUCUUUCUCCCUUUCUUUUCACUUCCUGGCACUUAACCCUUCCUAAAGGAUGUUGAUGUGACAGUUCUGUCCUACUCACAACAGCUCCUAUAAUGCUGAUUUCUGUUCUCAAGUAUCUCAAGUUUCCAGUAUCUUGAGUUUCCAGUGUCACUACUUUUCAGGAUCAGGGGAGAGCAAGAACAGUAACUGGUUGAAAUCAAAUCCUGCCUGCAUUCUGAAGAGUGACAUUUUAGCAUAUGGUAUGUUGUCUGUCACAUUUCUCUAGGUGUCACAGCAAACUUGAGGUGCUUAAGAGUAUUCCCUCUAGACCAUGAGCAAAAAGAGUAUCUGUCCUGUAUAUAUUAGCCUUGGCCAGUCCUGAAAUGAAAUUUCCAAUCUGGAGACAGACAUUUGUAUAAUGAUGGUUGAAGAGAGCAGUACUGCACGUGCUGUCAGCAGACUAUACUGAAUUUGUCCAGAUGAAAGGUUUCUUGUGGAUACUUUACAGUGUACCAUUGUUAGAAGGUAGCUGCAAGUUACAGUAGUUUCUAAUAGAACACUGUUUCCCUAAAAGGAAUCUGUUCAGAUGCAGCAUAUCCUAAAAAGAGAUAAAAACAUUUCUUUGGGAUUUUUGUCUGUUUUUAGCAAAUGUCAUAGCAAGUGGGAUUCCCCUGAAUGGGAAUCUACCUGUCUGUGUAGCAGAUUAUAUAAGAUAGCUCGUGGUUGAGUAUGGCACAGUAUAAAAGUUUAUUAAUUAUUAUUAUAGUAUCAUCCUUAGACUUUUCAAAAGCAAUUGAUAUAUUGUAUGGUAUGGGGUAUCCUCCAUCAAUUCUUUAGAUGUUUUCUAGUCUGAGAGCCACAAGCCUUCUCUCCCUCUGCUUUAUGACAUUCCUUGCAUCAGCACAAAGGUAGCAUGAAACGCCCCCAAAUCCAAAACUCAGCUCCUGGCAUCGAGCGCAUGCUGGUUCUAAUAAUAGGAUGGCAACGAGUUGUGUGCAAAAGCAGCCUAAAGGCAUUGCUAAUCGGGCUACUGUCAGGCUUUGGUACAUUGUGAAAAUGCUGCUGAAGUGUCAUGGGAGAAGUCUCAUUGCUUGGCAAUGUUUUGUGCAGUCUCUAACAUUCUGUUACUUUAUACAUUACAUCAGUGAUAUACUUUACAUUAAGUUUUUAAUAUAAAAUAGUGCUCUGUACCUGUUUAGUAUUGGCAAAAACUUGGAAUAUGUGAAAUCUGUGUAACAAAGAGAUGCAAUACUGAUGGUGGUUGCUUAUGUACAUUAGCUGGAUGUUGUCAUUUGUCCUCAUCAUUUUGUUCUUCUUUCUGUAGCAGUCCCUGCCUCUGAUUCCCCCAGGGUGUGGGAAAUAGAAGUGAUAUUUGGGAAUGGGUUUGGUAAUAAAACAGCAAGGUGUAGCACAACUGAAAUUUCUAAAGCAGCCCAGCAAUAGGCAAGAAACUCAGCACAGGCACCUGUCUUCCUGGUGAGCCCUGCCUGAACAUUCCACUGCCUUUUUGCCAGCACAGCUUGCUUAAGGCUGGCCCAGCCACCUCACUUCACUGUUACCUGUGGUGACAGCAGUACCCUGGGAUGCCUGCCCUCUGCUCCUCACAGGGCUGGCUGUGGGAAUGUGCCACUAAGUGCAAUGGUAACACUGCCUGGCACUCUGUGGCUGGCUGAGGCAGGAGGAGGCUGCUGUAUAUGAGAAGCAUCAAAAAUGGCUUGGGAACAGAGAUAAUUGAUUGACCCAGGGAGAUUAAAAGAAUUGAGUCUGGACAGACAAUUACGAUGGGGCAAGGCAAGGCAAUGGAGCAGAGACUGUUACAGAGGAAACUGGCAGGAUGAGCUGCUAGGCUGUGCAAACUUUCUGUGAUUUUGGCUUAGAGUGGGGUGAGUGUGUACACUGCAUAAUGUUUAACUAGCUCACAUUUUGUUUCUCUGAACUCUAAUAAAACAUCAGGAAACUGAAGGCUUCUGCUAAAAUGAAGGGAGCCUGACAACCUGCUGAGAUGUUGCACCUGUGAGCUGGGGAAAAACUGCCACAGAAGGUUUCUGUUCCUUAGACACACUGGUACGUCACAAAAACACUGGUGCCAGGGAGAGGUUGAGGCCCUGGAUUCUUCUCAAGCAACCUUCGUAUACAUAUCUAGUGGCAUCAUGCCUUUACAAAGAAGAGACUGCAUCUUGCCGUGUUUGUUGCCUGCCAGAGCAAGUCUGCCCUCCCUGCCCUCACAUACAUAAAUAUUUGUGGUUGUUUCUGAGUCUCCAGAGCUCUGCACCUUGUGGCCCUGCAAGCGCACACAUCAGCAGUAGAGCAGAGGAGGACAGCCAGCUGCAGAUGUGCUCUGGCAGAUAGCAAACAUGGUAGGAAGCAAUUUCUUCUGCAUGAUGGUGCGAUGCCAUUGCCUCAUCUCUUGGAUCAGGCAGCAAAUGAAUGUAAAAGGAUGGGAGAAAGGAAUGGGGUCAGGAGCUGGAAGCAAGAGGUUGAUUGCUUGGGUGUGCUCUCCCCAAGCAGAGACUGUGAGCAAGCAGAAAUAAAUUGUGUUUGUGAAUAGAAGAUAGAUGUGGUCUGACCUUGCUUACUGAGGAGUUUAAUGAAGGUUUAGAAAGCGACAUCUGUGGAUGAAAAUAUUUGCCUAAUUUUGAUCUUUGUUUUUCUUUACAUAUUGCUAGAAAAAAUGUUGCUUUGGAUUUUUGACCAGGGAAUGAGUACAGAGGAGAGGGAACAGCUGGCUGCUCUGGAUUCUGUAUUUUAACCAAGCUUAUAUGGACUUAGAGCUCUCAUUAGAGUUACCAGACAAGUAAGUCACAAGCUCAACUUGUCUGCCAUCUCCUCAGAUGAAGGGAGCAGUUGAUUGUUGGAAUGGCUGUGUUGGUGCCCCUUGCUCAUUUUAAGUAACUUUAUUUUUACAGGUACAAAAAAUGUCAUGAUUACAUGGAUGGGCAGCAGUGCUUGUUCUGGCUCACUGUUUCUGCUUGUUGAAACAUUGGAAGAGCUACAAAUUUUUCUUUUCUUUUUUUAGUAUGUGGAAGGUCUGAGUUGCAGCAAAUGUACAGGGCUUGGACAUUUCCAAGAUGUGACAGAGCCUUAGGGCAAGAAAUGAAAGGUUGUGCUCUGCUGGGCCUGAGCUGCUGCUCAGGGAGAACAAGGAUGAAAUAAGGGUUGCAUAGGGAAGAACUUCUUAUUGUUCUUCUUUUGACAGCUGGCUAAUCUUUCUGAGUUUGGAAUGCUUUAGUCAAGAGGCAUAGAUGGAGUAAUGAUGUGAAUGUGUGGCUGACAGAAUGCCCUGCUGCUUAAUGGCUAUUAAGAAAAUACCACAGAAUUUUUUUAUUUGUUUUUGUUGUUGUUUUUUAAUUAACUCAGUGUUGCAGGCACAAGGGGUGUGACUACAGCUGCGGGAAAGAUUUCUGAGUUCGUAGUUCCUCAAGUAAAACAUUUCUGAUUGCUUAAUAUUUAUCUCGAUUAAAUUGGCCUCUGGUGCCAGAGAAAACAUUCUUUGGGUUCAACAGGUCCUGAGGCAAAGAAACUUUAUUAUGUUUUGGGCAGGAUCUGUCAAACACUGCCAGGUACAGUGCUAUAUACCUAACCUGAAUCUUCCUGGCAGAUGAGGGCCUAAGCUAGAAAGCACGCAGCGAGGAUGAAGGCCAUGGUAGUCUGUUUUUCAUCAAAAGCUUGAGAUCACAGCAGCAACACAGAGCUGGAAGAGCAAGAGAAGUUUGGGGCUCUGAAACAAACUGGGAGGGUAAGACAAAAGUGCAGCUGAAGAACUUGGAGAGCCAGUUGAGGAGGAGGAAAAGAUCAGGGGAAGAGGAAGGAAGCACACCUCCCCAUGCAGAAGAUAGAGAAUUGUACUCUGAUCUCAUGUACUGCAAGAAGAGCAUCCAGCUCCAAAGCUGAUACACCAUGGGCAAGACAAAGGAAAGUUCCAGUUCUGAAUUUGCAGCCAGAAUUCAGGAACCAGAGGAAGGAGCUCAGGAGGUUGUACCUUUCAGAACAGCUGUGGAGCUGCAUUGUGACAAAGGACUGAGAUGGAUGAGUUUCAAGGCUGGGAGUCACCUGGGAGGAGCAUGCUGAUGAGGUGUUGAUGGAGAGGUGACCAUGUCACACCACUGCUUGGGCCAGGAGCAUCCUACAGGCGUUUGCCAAACGCAAACUGAAGCAAAAGGAUUCUGGACGAAAGAAGUGAAACACUGGACUGCUGAAGUGCACAGUGAGGAAAAAACUGGGAGAAGAAUGUGAAGGAUUCCUGGCCUCAAUAGAAGGUAAAAAGUCAUAAAAUAGCAGGGAACAAAAGCUAUUGGAAAAGGGCCAUAGUAUCUGUUGUGCAAAGGAAAGCAGGAUUUGACUGUGCCACAUCGAGAGGGGCAUCCUUAUUCUGUGCUGGAUAAAUACCUGGCUUGCUCUCUCAACCACUUAAUACUGACAGCCUACUGGGUACAAUGCACACCUUAGAAAUGUUCCUUUUGCUCUCAGGAUGUGAUUAGCAGCUGUGCUUCCUCCAGAAGUGGUUUGAUAGCAGUGGAGACUUGUUCCUGGGACUUGAGGAAUCCUGUAAUGGCAGAACUACAGGGAAAAACAGUAAAG